UACGUAGGGACCAAGCGUUGUUCGGAUUUACUGGGCGUAAAGGGCGCGUAGGCGGCGCUGUAAGUCACUUGUGAAAUCUCCGGGCUUAACUCGGAACGGUCAAGUGAUACUGCAGUGCUAGAGUGCAGAAAGGGCAAUCGGAAUUCUUGGUGUAGCGGUGAAAUGCGUAGAUAUCAAGAGGAACACCUGAGGCGAAGGCGGGUUGCUAGGCUGACACUGACACUGAGAGACGAAAGCUAGGGGAGCGAAUGGG
rnacentral:rRNA from 1 species